UACGUAGGCAGCAAGCGUUGUUCGGAGUUACUGGGCGUAAAGGGUGUGUAGGCGGUUCUUUAAGUUCGCUGUGAAAUCUCCCGGCUUAACCGGGAGGGUGCGGUGAAUACUGAGGGACUAGAGUACGGGAGAGGAAAGUGGAAUUCCUGGUGUAGCGGUGAAAUGCGUAGAUAUCAGGAGGAACACCGGUGGUGUAGACGGCUUUCUGGGCCGUAACUGACGCUGAGACACGAAAGCGUGGGUAGCAAACAG
rnacentral:rRNA from 1 species